ACCAGAAGAGGCGCGAUGCUCAGGCAACAGAGAGUAGGCUGGCAAAGUCAAUGAUACUCUGUAAGGGGAUGCAUCGCCGAGACAUCUUACGAUCUGCCGCGUCAGAUGUCGGCUACUAAGGCUGAAUCCUUAGAGCUGUCACUUUAGUGAAGCGCUUCUGG
rnacentral:ncRNA from 1 species